rnacentral:tRNA from 1 species
GCGGGUAUGGUGAAAUUGGCAGACACGCUGGAUUUAGGUUCCAGUGGCGCAAGCCGUGGGGGUUCAAGUCCCUCUACCCGCACCA